rnacentral:tRNA from 11 species
GUCGUAGCCGAGUGGUCAAGCCACAGGCCUUCCGCUUAGAAGGCCGGGAGUUCGAAUCCCGGUG